rnacentral:lncRNA from 1 species
UCCUUCAAAGAUUGGCAUAGUAGUCUUCUUUCUACAAUUAUGCCUAGGCCCACAUCUUUCAUCACAAUAAAAACAAAUGCCCUUUUCUCUAUGAUCUUGAAUCUCACUUGUAGAUGGACUCUUCACAGGCAUAGCAACAUAAUUUGUAGGUUUAGACUUUGAAAUGAUUGAACUAGAAUUCUCAUCUUGAUUCUUUCAAGAA